CUACGGGUCGCUCCAGUGAGGAAUAUUGGUCAAUGGGCGCAAGCCUGAACCAGCCAUGCCGCGUGCAGGAAGAAGGUCCUAUGGAUUGUAAACUGCUUUUAUUUGGGAAUAAACCUAUUUACGUGUAGAUAGCUGAAGGUACCAAAUGAAUAAGCACCGGCUAACUCCGUGCCAGCAGCCGCGGUAAUACGGAGGGUGCAAGCGUUAUCCGGAAUCAUUGGGUUUAAAGGGUCCGCAGGCGGACUUAUAAGUCAGUGGUGAAAGCCUACAGCUCAACUGUAGAACUGCCAUUGAUACUGUAAGUCUUGAAUAUGUUCGGAGUGGGCGGAAUGUGACAUGUAGUGGUGAAAUGCUUAGAUAUGUCACAGAACACCGAUAGCGAAGGCAGCUCACUAGACCAUUAUUGACGCUCAUGGACGAAAGCGUGGGGAGCAAACAGGAUUAGAUACCCUAGUAGUC
rnacentral:rRNA from 1 species